GAUGAACGCUGGCGGCGUGCCUAAUACAUGCAAGUCGAGCGAACGGACGAGAAGCUUGCUUCUCUGAUGUUAGCGGCGGACGGGUGAGUAACACGUGGAUAACCUACCUAUAAGACUGGGAUAACUUCGGGAAACCGUAGCUAAUACCGGAUAAUAUUUUGAACCGCAUGGUUCAAAAGUGAAAGACGGUCUUGCUGUCACUUAUAGAUGGAUCCGCGCUGCAUUAGCUAGUUGGUAAGGUAACGGCUUACCAAGGCAACGAUGCAUAGCCGACCUGAGAGGGUGAUCGGCCACACUGGAACUGAGACACGGUCCAGACUCCUACGGGAGGCAGCAGUAGGGAAUCUUCCGCAAUGGGCGAAAGCCUGACGGAGCAACGCCGCGUGAGUGAAGAAGGUCUUCGGAUCGUAAAACUCUGUUAUUAGGGAAGAACAUAUGUGUAAGUAACUGUGCACAUCUUGACGGUACCUAAUCAGAAAGCCACGGCUAACUACGUG
rnacentral:rRNA from 1 species